GCCCCCCGCAGGUAGCGAGGCCGGGCGGGCGGCCGGGCGGCGGCGCCCAGCGCCCCUCGCCAGGCCCGCCAUGCAGGGUCCUGCCGGGAACUCGAGCCAUUCACUGCCGGGCGGGCCGCCUUCCACCGUAGCGUCCGGCGCGGGCCGCUGCGAGAGCGGUGCGCUCAUGCACAGUUUCGGCAUCUUCCUGCAGGGGCUGCUUGGCGUCGUGGCCUUCAGCACGUUGAUGCUCAAACGCUUCAGAGAACCAAAGCAUGAAAGACGUCCCUGGAGGAUAUGGUUUUUAGACACUUCCAAACAAGCCAUAGGAAUGCUGUUCAUCCACUUUGCAAAUGUGUACCUAGCAGAUCUCACUGAAGAGGACCCUUGUUCACUGUACCUCAUCAACUUCCUCCUGGACGCCACCGUGGGCAUGCUGCUCAUCUACAUGGGCGUGCGCGCCGUCAGCGUCUUGGUGGAGUGGCAGCAGUGGGAGUCCCUGCGUUUUGGCGAAUAUGGAGACCCUCUGCAGUGCGGAGCCUGGGUUGGACAGUGUGCCCUUUACAUCGUGAUCAUGAUUUUUGAAAAAUCUGUCGUCUUCAUUGUCCUCCUCAUACUUCAGUGGAAGAAGGUGGCUCUGUUGAAUCCCAUUGAAAACCCAGACCUGAAGCUGGCCAUCGUCAUGCUGAUCGUCCCCUUCUUUGUCAAUGCUCUGAUGUUUUGGGUAGUGGACAAUUUCCUCAUGAGAAAGGGAAGGACGAAAGCUAAACUAGAAGAAAGGGGAGCCAACCAGGACCCGAGAAACGGCAGCAAGGUCCGCUACCGAAGGGCCGCGUCCCACGAGGAGUCGGAGUCUGAGAUCCUGAUCUCGGCCGAUGACGAGAUGGAGGAGUCCGAUGUGGAGGAGGACCUCCGGAGACUGACCCCCCUGAAGCCUGCGAAGAAAAAGAAGCACCGCUUCGGGCUGCCUGUAUGACGCAUCCUCGAGCUGGGGUCGGGUCAGGGCCCGGCCAGUCGCCGGUUGGCCGAGGGUCGCUCCGCUGCGUCUUCCCUCCCCUCCUCUCUCUGCCCCUCUUCUACCUCCACUCCUCCCGCGGUCUCUGCCCACUCCUAGACAACUGUGACCCGAGGGAGGGAGGCCGCUGGCCCGGCGUGGCAGCUGGAGGUCCCCACUCAGUUGCACUACAAACACUGACCAAAUAUGCAAGCAAGGCGUUUUGUUUGUGUGUUGUCGUCCCAAGCGGUGUUGUGAGGGAUCCAGAAGCCCUGUCCUGCGUCUGGCCGGGUGGCCUCAAGGAUGAGAACUCACGUGCGCACGGACCGUGGGUGGAGCCUUUCGCCAAGGCUCUGGGGAAUGUGAAGACGUAACACGUUUGGGGGCUAAAAGUUACACAUUGACCAGAGCCUCCAGAUCUGAAGUUUAAAACACAGUCUCGGCCUCCCGCCUCCCAUGGUGCAGCCUUCAGAACCAGGCUCUGGACCCAGCUCUGGGAACUUCCUCUCAGGCUACGCCUUGCCUGUCAGCUUAAGUGUUGUCGACUCGCCUUCUAGAGAACGCCUGUCUGGCCAAGGGAUCCUGUUUUUCACAUCCUCCAGAGCAGCGGGUGGAGGUGAGCGAGCUUGCUCUCUGCGUCCACAGGCAGGACGAGGUGCUUCAAAGCUUGUGGCCCCCACUCCCCAGUGUGGGCAUAGGCCCCGUGGCUUUGGGUGUCUGCUGCCCGGCAGUGGAAUGGGCUGACCCAGGCACUUGCCCUGCUGUGGGAGCAGCAGCCCAGUGUUUUGUCCCAGCCCAGAAGCAGUCAUGGAAGUUUAGGAAUAGAGAACCGCAUGGCUAAGGUGCGAGCUGGAAGUGAGAUCAGUGCAGGGAGGCCACGCCACCCAGAACCUUGUUUUUAGGUUCCUACCUUAAAACCUACAUAAAAACGUGUCACUCAAACAGAUUGGGUCUGAAUUGUGGCAUGUGAGCCACGCUGUUAAACCAGGCAUCCUGGGCCUGUCCUCUGCCUCCCACAGUCUCAGCUGUGUGGGUCAUGGAGGGACAAGCCUUGCGGAGGCCUUCUCAGCCUGUCGUCCUGUAGGAGUCCAGAGGGCCAGAGGAGCUGGGACCUGAAUUGCAGUGGGCGGCGACUCUGUUACGGUGGGCACCUGCAGCUGGAGAGGAGAGCAGGGUGAGAUUGGAGCCCAUCUCCACUCUCCCUUAGCUUUGCUCUCAUUUUAUGCUCCUCCCCCCUCCCAUCCUCAGCUGUGUUAGUGGGGGGCUCCCCACUGGGAAGACCAGGACUGACAUCGGUCCUGGUAGGUGGCAGGCAUCGCUGACUUGCCUUACUGUGUCCUCCUGUUUUGUCUUGGUUGGAAUAACCUGUGGCCGCAGCUGUUUCCUGCACCUCCCUGAGCCCAGAAUCUGAGCUUCACUUUCAGUCUUGAGCUCCUCGUGUUUCCAAACCAGGGACGAGGGUGGGGAAGCCACAGGUGUGAAGGAUGGAAACUAUGGGUUAUACAGACCCCAGAUGAUCUGCUCAUCUCAAGGCUCAUCCCAGCGCCUGCUGGGCAGUGGGUCUGGGGGACAGAGAGGUAGCGAGCGAGCAGUGGUUUCUCCCUGUAUCCUGAUUUUGAAAGGGCUUUAGUCUCUGAGCCUCAGUUGUAUAGCUGGCUAACUAGGACAUGGACGUCUAACAGGGAGUCUGAUCGUACAGGGCCUUGUCAGCGUGUGGGCCUAAACGGCGUGGCCUGAUGUGUUUGGCCUUAUCCCUGGGAUAAGCUUCCUCACCACCUGCUCCAAGGUGCCUUAUGAGGUGCAGCUCUUCACCUGCCACAUGGCAAGCAUCAUUGUGCUUGAGAAACCACGGAACACCAGCUGGGUAUUGUGCGCCAUCCGUCUGAUUUGUCCAAAUCUGGACCUCAGCCAAGCCAUCCAUAAUGGAAACUUAUAAGUCAAGGCCAUGAACAAGUCUCUUGUAACUGAUAGAAAUAACCCGAUGAGGUAGAACUGUCAUAUCCAAAUGGAAGAGAUCGUUGUUGCCCAUUUUUCCUUUCGCUGACAGUGGGAUGUUGACAGUGGCAAGGAGGGAUGUUGGUGAGAUCCCAGGCAGUGGCUUCUUGGUCUGCUCAGCCCAAAGACCUGCCACGUGAAGGCCCGUCAAUUUGCCUUCGGGCACACUGGUGGCCUCCUGCCUCAAGCUUUAACCUGUGCCUCUUCCUGACAACAAGGAGUCAUGGGUUAGUGUUGACCUGUCAUGGCUUUAAAGGGAAAAUAUAUAAAGGCUCAAAUUCAGGUUGUUUCUUCCCCUCCUCAGUGUGGGCCUGGAGGCUGUAGCCCAGAGUCACCGUCUGAAGGCUGCCCCAGGAGCCUGGAGGGAGCAGCAGCUGUCAGCAGCUCACUCUGCCCUCCAGACUGCAAUUCACUGGCCUUUUUGCAGCCAAGCAAAUGCAGACGGCUCUGGGAAUUUGCCUCAGCCAGAGCAGCCACCUUGUAGCGGGCAGGGCUGGCCUUUAGAAGUUUCACACAUUUCCAACUAGGAGUGGAGAGCUCUGUGUUUUACCCUGUGAAACAUUGGCAGCUCUUCUGAAGGGCUUUGCUCCUGGGGAGGGACCUUGAGCUCCUGAGUGGGUGGGUGGGUUGGUUUAAUUUGAUUUCUCUUUUCAUUAAGUUUAUUAGAAGUCAGACCUACGUGAGCAAACCAUGACCGACUUCCACUGCCCUCCCAGCGCGGGUGGUUAAAUCU